rnacentral:rRNA from 1 species
ACGCUGGCGGCGUGCUUAACACAUGCAAGUCGAACGAUGAACCCCAGCUUGCUGGGGGGAUUAGUGGCGAACGGGUGAGUAACACGUGAGUAACCUGCCCUUAACUCUGGGAUAAGCCUGGGAAACUGGGUCUAAUACUGGAUAUUGACUUUACCUCGCAUGGGGUUUGGUUGAAAGAUUUAUUGGUUUUGGAUGGACUCGCGGCCUAUCAGCUUGUUGGUGAGGUAAUGGCUCACCAAGGCGACGACGGGUAGCCGGCCUGAGAGGGUGACCGGCCACACUGGGACUGAGACACGGCCCAGACUCCUACGGGAGGCAGCAGUGGGGAAUAUUGCACAAUGGGCGAAAGCCUGAUGCAGCGACGCCGCGUGAGGGAUGACGGCCUUCGGGUUGUAAACCUCUUUCAGUAGGGAACAAGGCCAAUGUUUAGUUGGUUGAGGGUACUUGCAGAAGAAGCACCGGCUAACUACGUGCCAGCAGCCGCGGUAAUACGUAGGGUGCAAGCGUUAUCCGGAAUUAUUGGGCGUAAAGAGCUCGUAGGCGGUUUGUCGCGUCUGCCGUGAAAGUCCGGGGCUCAACCCCGGAUCUGCGGUGGGUACGGGCAGACUAGAGUGAUGUAGGGGAGACUGGAAUUCCUGGUGUAGCGGUGAAAUGCGCAGAUAUCAGGAGGAACACCGAUGGCGAAGGCAGGUCUCUGGGCAUUAACUGACGCUGAGGAGCGAAAGCAUGGGGAGCGAACAGGA